AGCGGACGCUGGCGGCAAGCUUAACACAUGCAAGUCGAACGAUGUAGCAAUACAUAGUGGCGGACGGGUGCGUAACACGUGGGAAUCUGCCUUUAGGUGGGGGAUAACUCAGGGAAACUUGAGCUAAUACCGCAUGAUAUCUUCGGAUCAAAGAUUUAUCGCCUAAAGAUGAGCCCGCGGCAGAUUAGCUAGUUGGUGGGGUAAUGGCCUACCAAGGCAACGAUCUGUAGCUGGUCUGAGAGGAUGACCAGCCACACUGGGACUGAGACACGGCCCAGACUCCUACGGGAGGCAGCAGUGGGAAUAUUGGGCAAUGGGCGCAAGCCUGACCCAGCUAUGCCGCGUGAAUGAUGAAGGCCUUAGGGUUGUAAAGUUCUUUUACCAGGGACGAUAAUGACGGUACCUGGAGAAAAAGCUCCGGCUAACUUCGUGCCAGCCGCCGCGGUAA
rnacentral:rRNA from 1 species